UAUAUUUCUUUGUGUUUGAGAACUCUGUAAACACUGACAUGAUUACGUCUGUAUAACGUUUAACUGCUUGUUUUCCAACGUUAUCUGAACCUUAUUUGUUUAAUUCUAAACAUCGGUAGCGAAAAUUAGCCUCAGCCAUUCUUUUCCUAGAAUGAUUCAUUAUUCAGCAUCAACGAACACCUCUUCUAAAAAAUCGAUCGGCUUUCCCGGAAUGUGAACAUGAGGCUCAAUUACCUCUAAAGUUGAAGGCUUGCUAUGCAAAUUACAAAGGCUGACUGAAGUUAGAACUCAGGGAGGAAGAAAGAGGACUUGUUUACUGUUCGGAGUUGAACUAUUCUAUUUGAGUUAACGUUUCUCAGUCUUGUGUAUUCCAAGAACCAUCUCUUCGGGGACUUUUGGUCUCAGUGGACCAGACUGGAUCGAAGAAAAGAAAGACUAAACAGGAGAAUUGGAGCAAACUGACGAGGCUGAGAACAGUUCUAGAGACAGCUGGCCGCCUAUCCGAUGGUUAUGGUCCUACUUGUCUUUACGUCUACAUAGACCACUGAGAAGUCCAUCGUCAAAGACAGUUGAGUCUUUUAUUGUGUCAAAACCAUAAAGUAUUGGAGUAAUUUGUAACAUUACAAAAUGUUAAUAAAACAUUACUGACACUGUGCUGUUCUUAUAGCUUUGUAAGUGCUUUAUAACUUCGUCAAAAGAAACAAUGUUCUUAUAUUUGUUUUCUUACU